GAAAGGCCAAGAUUGCUUGUGG
rnacentral:siRNA from 1 species